AAAUUCAAAUUCAAAUUCGAAUGAAAUGAAAUUCAAAUUCAAAUUCAAAUGAAAUUCAAAUUCGUCUCUCUACUUCCUUUCUCUCUUCUUCUUUCUCUCUUUUCUCUUCUUCUCUUCUCUCUUUUUCCCUUUGCUCUCUUUCUUCUCUCUCUCUUCUCUUCUUCUUGUCUCUUAUCUUCAACUCUAAUUUCUUAGCCUUCAACUCUUUAAAGUUAAUUUCAAAUUCUAUGGCAGUAAUAAGGAACCAUUUUCAUUUAAGCUUUCAAGAAAUGUUUUUCCAUCUUCAAUGUAAGUUUUAGGUUUCUCUUAAUGGUUGAAGGAACAAACUUUCUUUUCAUACAAGAUUUUAGUUCAUUCCAAUCAUGGAUGAAGAAUUUUCCACCUAUCCUAACAAGAUAUCACCUUUCAUCCCACUACUCACUUGCAUGCACUUCAAAUCUAGAUGUGUAGAAACUAAAGACAUAAUAUGCACUAUUGCUUGCAUAUUGAAAGUAAUUGGUUGAUAAAUACUAGAAAACCUAGAAGAUCUAUAUGAAGAAAAAACGUAUAGAAAUCAUAUCAAGACAUGAUUUUUUUAUUUUUUUUUGUGAAAAAAUUCUAUAAAAAUUCUAAAGGUGAAGAAACCUUAUCCUUCCUUAACCAGAGUGUCUCAUGACGUUUCUUACCAAGUUUCAAUGAAGAAGUCUUUCAAAACUUUUUGAAUGCACCUAAAAACCAAACGAAGGUUUACUAUAUGAAACAUGUUCCUAAAUAUCACAGAGACUUAAAACAUAAAAGACAAUCAAGCAAAGUAAAGUAAAUGAAUAAUGAAAGAAAAUGAAAAACGGUCCUAUGUGAAAGUGCAAGUGACACUUGGAGCCCCUUGACACACUUUCACACUAAAAGGUGAAAACUAAACUAUUACAAUGUUGAAUGGUACACUUGGAAUUGCUUCAAAAGCAUUCUCCCAAGGUACUUGAAGUUGCAAAAUAAUGAAAUGUAACACUCAAAGUUCCGUGAUACAAUAUCAAAUAUACAAUGAAAUGUAGCAAUGGAUGAAUAAAGCCAAGUGAUACAAUAUCAAAUAUACAAUGAAAUGUAGCAAUGGAUGNNNN
rnacentral:lncRNA from 1 species